rnacentral:rRNA from 1 species
AUUGAACGCUGGCGGCAGGCCUAACACAUGCAAGUCGAGCGGAUGAAGGGAGCUUGCUCCUGGAUUCAGCGGCGGACGGGUGAGUAAUGCCUAGGAAUCUGCCUGGUAGUGGGGGAUAACGUCCGGAAACGGGCGCUAAUACCGCAUACGUCCUGCGGGAGAAAGUGGGGGAUCUUCGGACCUCACGCUAUCAGAUGAGCCUAGGUCGGAUUAGCUAGUUGGUGGGGUAAAGGCCUACCAAGGCGACGAUCCGUAACUGGUCUGAGAGGAUGAUCAGUCACACGGGAACUGAGACACGGUCCAGACUCCUACGGGAGGCAGCAGUGGGGAAUAUUGGACAAUGGGCGAAAGCCUGAUCCAGCCAGGCCGCGUGUGUGAAGAAGGUCUUCGGAUUGUAAAGCACUUUAAGUUGGGAGGAAGGGCAGUAAGUUAAUACCUUGCUGUUUUGACGUUACCAACAGAAUAAGCACCGGCUAACUUCGUG